rnacentral:pre_miRNA from 1 species
AUAUUACUCCCUCCGUCCCAAAAUAACUGUCUCAAGCUUAUUAUAAAUUUGUACUAGAGCUAGUACAAAGUUGAGACACUUAUUUUGGGACGGAGGGAGUAUUAU